rnacentral:tRNA from 1 species
GGCCAGUUAGCUCAGUCAGUUGAGCAUGGUGCUGAUAAUACCAAGGUCACGGGUUCGAUUCCCGUUCGGUCCU